CCCUUAGAUGUCCUGGGCCGCACGCGCGUUACACUGAUGCAUUCAACGAGCCUAUAACCUUGGCCGAGAGGCCUGGGCAAUCUUGUUAACGUGCAUCGUGAUAGGGAUAGAUUAUUGAAAUUAUUAAUCUUGAACGAGGAAUUCCUAGUAAACGCAGAUCAUCAAUCUGCAUUGAUUACGUCCCUGCCCUUUGUACACACCGCCCGUCGCACCUACCGAUUGGAUGGUCCGGUGAAGCCUCGGGAUUGUGGUUCUUGCCGCUUUAUUGUGGCGUGACCGCGAGAACUUGUCUAAACCUUAUCGUCUAGAGGAAGGUGAAGUCGUAACA
rnacentral:rRNA from 1 species